UACGUAGGGAGCAAGCGUUGUCCGGAAUCAUUGGGCGUAAAGCGCGCGUAGGUGGCCCCGUAAGUCCGCUGUGAAAGUCAAAGGCUCAACCUUUGAAAGCCGGUGGAUACUGUGGGGCUAGAGUCCGGAAGAGGCGAGUGGAAUUCCUGGUGUAGCGGUGGAAUGCGCAGAUAUCAGGAGGAACACCAAUAGCGAAGGCAGCUCGCUGGGACGGUACUGACGCUAAGGCGCGAAAGCGUGGGGAGCGAACAGG
rnacentral:rRNA from 1 species